GAUGAACGCUAGCGGCAGGCCUAACACAUGCAAGUCGAACGGUAACAUGGAUUGCUUGCAAUCUGAUGACGAGUGGCGCACGGGUGCGUAACGCGUAUAGAAUCUACCUUGUACAGGGGUAUAGCCUUUGGAAACGAAGAUUAACACCCCAUAGUAUUAUGAAUUGGCAUCGAUUUAUAAUUAAAACUCCGGUGGUACAAGAUGACUAUGCGUCCUAUUAGCUAGAUGGUAAGGUAACGGCUUACCAUGGCAACGAUAGGUAGGGGUCCUGAGAGGGAGAUCCCCCACACUGGUACUGAGACACGGACCAGACUCCUACGGGAGGCAGCAGUGAGGAAUAUUGGACAAUGGUCGGAAGACUGAUCCAGCCAUGCCGCGUGCAGGAAGACUGCCCUAUGGGUUGUAAACUGCUUUUAUAUGGGAAGAAUAAGGCCUACGUGUAGGCUGAUGACGGUACCAUAAGAAUAAGCACCGGCUAACUCCG
rnacentral:rRNA from 1 species